GACGAACGCUGGCGGCGUGCUUAACACAUGCAAGUCGAACGAUGAAGCCGGAGCUUGCUCUGGUGAAUUAGUGGCGAACGGGUGAGUAACACGUGAGUAACCUGCCCUUGACUCUGGGAUAACUGCGGGAAACUGUAGCUAAUACCGGAUACGACCCUCGGAGGCAUCUCCUGGGGGUGGAAAGAAUUUCGGUCAAGGAUGGACUCGCGGCCGAUCAGGUAGUUGGUGAGGUAAAGGCUCACCAAGGCCACGACGGGUAGCCGGCCUGAGAGGGUGACCGGCCACACUGGGACGGAGACACGGCCCAGACUCCUACGGGAGGCAGCAGUGGGGAAUAUUGCACAAUGGGCGCAAGCCUGAUGCAGCAACGCCGCGUGAGGGAUGACGGCCUUCGGGUUGUAAACCUCUUUUAGCAGGGAAGAAGCGAAAGUGACGGUACCUGCAGAAAAAGCACCGGCUAACUACGUGCCAGCCGCCGCCGUAA
rnacentral:rRNA from 1 species